CCUACGGGAGGCAGCAGUCGAGAAUCAUUCACAAUGGGCGAAACCCUGAUGCUGCGACGCCGCGUGGGGGAAUGAAGUUCUUCGGAUUGUAAACCCCUGUCAUGUGGGAGCAAAGUCAAAAGCUAGUACCCCAAUAGGAAGAGACGGCUAACUAUGGGCCGUCAACCGCGGUCAUACAGAGGUAUUAAGCGGUGGUCGGAAUCACUGGGCGUAAAGUGUUGGUUGGCUGGUUCGUAAGUCGUGUGUGAAAGGCGCGGGCUUAACCCGCGGACGGCAGAUGAUACUGCGAGACUAGAGUAAGGGAGGGGGACGCGGAAUGCGUGGUGUAGCAGUGAAAUGCGUAGAUAGCGCGAGGAACACUGAUGGCGAAGGCAGGUUCCUGGACACUAACUGACGCUGAGGCACGAAGGCCAGGGUAGCGAAAGGGAUUAGAUACCCUUGUAGUC
rnacentral:rRNA from 1 species